rnacentral:rRNA from 1 species
AACGAACGCUGGCGGCAGGCUUAACACAUGCAAGUCGAACGCAUCCUUCGGGUGAGUGGCAGACGGGUGAGUAACCCGGGGGAACGUGCCCUUCAGUUUGGGAGAAACCAGGGAAACCUGGGCUAAUAACGGGUAAGUGGGAGAGGAGAAAGAUUUAUCGCUGAAGGAACGGCCCGCGUCUGAAUAGCUAGCUGGUGGGGUAAUGGCCCACCAAGGCGACGAUCAGUAGCUGGUCUGAGAGGAUGAUCAGCCACAUUGGGACUGAGACACGGCCCAAACUCCUACGGGAGGCAGCAGUGGGGAAUAUUGGACAAUGGGCGCAAGCCUGAUCCAGCCAUGCCGCGUGAGUGACGAAGGCCUUAGGGUUGUAAAGCUCUUUCGUCCGGGACGAUAAUGACGGUACCGGAAGAAGAAGCCCCGGCUAACUUCGUGCCAGCCGCCGCCGUAAAAC